GAAGAACGCUGGCGGCGUGCUUAACACAUGCAAGUCGAAAGAAGUGGCGAACGGGUGAGUAACGCGUAAUCAACCUGCCCUUCAGAGGGGGACAACAGUUGUAAACGACUGCUAAUACCGCAUACUGACGGGGUGGUUUCCGUCGGAGUGGCUAGUUGGAGGGGUAACGGCCCACGAAGGCGAUGAGCAGUAGCCGGUCCGGGAGGAUGAACGGCCACAUUGGAACUGAGACACGGCCCAGACUCCUACGGGAGGCAGCAGUGGGGAAUCUUCCGCAAUGGACGAAAGUCUGACGGAGCAACGCCGCGUGAGUGAUGACGGCCUUCGGGUUGUAAAGCUCUGUUAAUCGGGACGCGGUACCGGAAUAGAAAGCCACGGCUAACUACGUGCCAGCAGCCGCGGUAAUAC
rnacentral:rRNA from 1 species